UACGAAGGGGGCUAGCGUUGCUCGGAAUUACUGGGCGUAAAGCGCACGUAGGCGGAUUGUUAAGUCGGGGGUGAAAUCCUGAGCUCAACUCCAGAACUGCCUUCGAUACUGGCGAUCUCGAGUUCGGGAGAGGUGAGUGGAACUGCGAGUGUAGAGGUGAAAUCGUAGAUAUUCGCAAGAACACCAGUGGCGAAGGCGGCUCACUGGC
rnacentral:rRNA from 1 species